UAACUUGAGAGACUACCAGAAGCUAGUCUCAGAUCAUAAGUGGCUGUCAUUUGAAAACUUUCACAGUGAUUUGCAUUGUUCAAGGAAUUUCCUGAGCCAAAGUGCAUGGGUUACAGAUUUUUACUGACCAGAAAAGUUUUCCACCACUUGUAAACAGACCCAGGUUUAGAAAGAAACCUGAAAGCAGUUCCUCCCUGCUGGUCUCUGGAGUUUCUGUUGUCCCCGAAGAAACAGAAAGCAACCUUUCUCUCACAGACUUUUGGUUCCUCUAGGAGCGAUACUGCACAAUCGAGUUACUCCACUUUAAUUCCACCCGUAUCUAUGGACCCUCAAAGACUGCAGAGGCCAUCUACAAGUCAGGCUGGGUCUUCUUAUGGAAUCGCACCUGUGUUUACAAAG